GCAGUAGUGGCCGAGUGGUUAAGACUGACUAGAAAUCCAUUGGGGUCUCCCCGCACAGGUUCGAAUCCUGUCGACUGUG
rnacentral:tRNA from 2 species